GGUCUGCGCUUGGGAAGGCGAGGCUCGAGGCCGGCCGGCGGAGCUCUCAGGGACGCAGGGAGGUCAGGUUGGCAGCAGCCACUCUCUCUGCGGCUGUACCUGGGAAAUGGAAAGCAGAAGGCUGGCUCAAACCCUCCAAGACAGGUUGGCACCACUCCAGGGGUGAAUCCAGGCAAAGACUGGCCACAGACCACCCUAGCCUUACCAGGAAGUUUGCUGUCUUCUUAUCCCCCUGAGAUCUCUGCUCCUCUCCAGAUUUUCUCAACUCUUUCAGAUGCUCCAGCUGCUUCUGAAUUUGUUUCUGGAAAAAAAGAGCACUUGUCAAAGCUUGAACUUGGCUCCUGCCAUCUUGGUGCCAACUCUAGAUGGGAAAACUUGCUUCACGGAAUAAAGCUGAAGUGGUCUGGAACCAAACCCACGACGUGCCUGUACAUUCUGGCCAAGAGGAAGUAAAUGGAGGCAUCACGAGCAGCAUCUAGAAACUUCCGAAAACCUUCCCUAAGUGAUACUAUUCUCCUUUGUCCCUCCAUCCUGCUGCCUGGAAUGAGGAUGCCACCAUCUGAGACCACAACCUUGAGAGCAAACUCCGUAGAGCAGAAAAGCAGCAGGAGCUUGGGUUCCUGACCACGGUGUACCACAUUUGUCCUGGACCACCUGUGUGUCAUUUAUGUGAAAGAGGAACAAACGUCUAUCUUGUUUCAGUUAUGUUAUUUUGGCGUUUCUGUCAUUCACAACCCAUCACCGUCCUAAUUUCUGCCUCUUUAGUAAAAGAGACCUAGGACUUUAGCCAACAGCUCCCUCCCUGCCCAGACAGAGGCGAAUAGCAGAAUCGUAGCCCCAUGACAUACUGCCAUGAGGUAUUGUGAGAAGGUGAUAUUUGUACCCAAUCUUUCUCAGAUGUUCAACCUGGGGUCCAUGAAGCCCUUGGGAAUUCUAAAGAAGGACUUCAGAGUGUCUAAGAACUAACUAACUGAAAUGUAUGCAACAUUUUUAUGAAAAUGUGCAGAUAUGCAUUUUUCAGGAUUCAGAGCCUACAUCAGAUUCUCAAAGGGUGGAGGACCUCAAGGGGGACCCAGAGAUCCAGUGAAAUGAAUACAGUGGGGAUAAAAGCAGGUUUGCAGGGGGAAACCUGCAAAGGUUAUCAUUCCUAAGGAUGCCAGGUCUUCUGGAUUCUGAGGUCCUUUCUUACCUGAAGAUGGAGGGACUUCUGGAUUUGAAGAAUCAUGGAGCAUACCACCUACCACCUCCUCCAAGGCCUUAGAGGUCUUUGGAGCCUCAGUUCCACUCUUCUCUGCAGGUACUGUGGACUCUGGAUGCUCCCAGAUCUUCUUUCCAGCCAACGAUACACUGGAAAGUGUAUUCCUGAGUGCUACCCCCUCCAGAGUCAUGGCGUGUUCUGGAUUCCUGGAUCCUUUCUCUGCAGCCACAGUAGCCCCUGUGUUCAGAGUGGCUGCUGAGCCUGGAUUCUCACAUCUCAUUUUCUCUUGAAGCAGAAGAGUUUCUGGGUUGAGAGGUUCUGUCUCUCCUGAAGAAAUAGUAAAUUCAAGACUUUUGGGUCGCUUCUUUCCUGAAGAUUCAGAGGCUUUUCCAGCUGGGAGGACUCAAUGCCUUGUCAGACACCUGGUCAUCAGCACCCAGCUCUCACUGACUUGGGCUGGACUGCAUAGUGGUGGAUGAGUCUUUGAGGAAGGGUCUGGGAUUGGAUUCCAGAUUCUAGAUCUUUGGGCAGGCAGUCAGAUGCUUCCCUCUCCCCUCCCAGGAUACGGGGGUGGGAGUGGGGGGAACAGAGCCCCUGGUCCCAUGCUGGAGAGAACCAUGAUGAGGGUCAGCCCCUCUGGCCAACUGCUCUUCUCCAGACUCUUGGGAUUUUAUUGACCCUCUGGAGCCAAUGACAGGGGGAUGGGGAGCAGCAAAUACAGCCCUGCAAGCUCUGCCCCUCCCUGCCCAAGAAGGCAGGUGAGGCCAGAAGGGCACCACCAGGAGACAAGCCCUGGGGUCGCCCCUGUUGAUGUAGUUCCAGUUGUCUGGUUCUUCCAGCAACACGAAGGCCUCGAAACGCGACGCCUGGGACCACCAUCCUGAUUUAUUUGUCCCAGCGCUAACUCUGCCGUGGCUUCCUGGGAGCAGACUCCGGAGGGAGGGUGUCAUGCAUGCACGUGUACUGAACACAUGUUCUGGACCAGGAUGCUGGAGAAACAAGGGUGAAAAAGGCAUAGUCGUUCUUAGGGCUUGCAGCCCAGUAUGGGGCCCCAGCGGUGGCUCCAAAGCUAAUGGAGUUUGUAUGGGGGGAGCUGACUGCUUCCUCCGUUAACAGCUGUGUCUUUCUGCUACAUUGAUUUUUAUCCUCAACUUUUUGGUUCAAAAAAUUUCAGGGCUUCCCUGGUGGCGCAGUGGUUGGGAGUCCGCCUGCCGAGGCAGGGGACGUGGGUUCGUGCCCCGGUCCGGGAGGAUCCCACAUGC